AAAUAGAUUUCGCAUGGAAUAGCAACAAUGAGGGUGUAGAACAUGCUGGAUGGAACAAAAUGGAAAGCUUUCAGAAAAUCCCGUGCUUUGCUAUAGAACAGCAAUGGUCGGUCGGCACAAGCUGAAGCUCACCCACUAAAGUCAGAAAUACCUCAACACACACGGACUCUGAGCGGAGUAGUUGUAGCUGCUGCCAUCUAAAUAUUGUGCUCUCAAGAGCAUUCGCCGUUUUUUAUUUUUUAUUUUUUUUUUGCACCACCAGAAGAUCCCGUCGUUCAGCUGAGGC
rnacentral:lncRNA from 1 species